CCUCUUUGUUGUCGAAGCGAUUGUCAUUACCCUGGCAGCCACCAUAGAUGAAGUCCUCACAGGCCUUCGACUCGCUAUUGUAGAAAACCUUCGGAUCGGAUUUGCGGCAUGGACCAACUUCUUUGGGCUGCGAACAAGCUGUGCACGAAUAGAAUAGAUAUAGAGACAUGUUUAGGUUGAAAGUGAAAGACAUCCAUUAAAUAGAUGAACAGUUUACAAAUGAUAUUAGUUUGAAAAACGUUGAUAAUAAGCUGUCAUACCUCGAAAGGCUGGAGCAAUUGCCGUACUAUUUGGGCUUCAUUGUAGGAUAAGUUUGCUAGAACCAUCCAUAGUAAAAUGCAAAAGCUUAAACAAAUGUUUUCAAGAUGAAUGAUGAUGAUGCAUUAGAAAAGAACCACAUGCUCUUUAUACUUAAAUAUCUGUUUUUGAUGACAGCAUUCUUCUUUUUUCGAUCUGUGAUCUUAUCACUAUGUUUAACCUAGUUGGUCAAGCCUUUCUUCUCAGUUGUGGUGGCUCCAUCAAUACUUACAUUCUUGAAAAAAGAGCGUGAAAUCUCAAUAAAUCUGAGAGUAAAUGCUUACUGAUUCGAGUAGUACUAAGACAACAACUAAGAAGCUUAAAAUGUGAAAAGAAGAAAUCUGAAGAUAUUGUAUACUAUAGAUAACAACUGCUUAUGUUGAGUGCUCAGAUAAAAAGCAUUAAACGAUUUAAUUUAUGUUCAAAAUAUAUUUAUUUAAAAAUAUAUACUAAUAUUAUGAACAAUAAAUAAAUAAAGUAUUAAUUCUGCAUAAA